rnacentral:lncRNA from 1 species
AUGAAUCCAAGGGUCUGUUCUUGCGAGCUGCUGUCAUCUGCUGCAGUACUGUGGGAAACUACUGAGGUUCUACUGAGGAAUCCCAGGCCCGCCUGGGUGCCAAGAAGGACUUUCCUGGCCUGGGAGUCAAGGUGUUCUAAUGCCACUUUUACAGAUGUGGUCACUGCAGCUGUGAGGGCUGGGAAAGGGUUGGCUCCAUUUUACCAGAAAAGAUACAGUCUGAGGUCUAAGGAGGGAGCAGGGA